GACGAACGCUGGCGGCGUGCCUGAUACAUGCAAGUCGAGCGAGGGUCUUCGGACCCUAGCGGCGGACGGGUGAGUAACACGUAGGCAACCUGCCCGUAAGACUGGGAUAACAUAGGGAAACUUAUGCUAAUACCAGAUAGGGUGCUUUCUCGCAUGAGGAGGUACGGAAAGAUGGCGCUUCGGCGUCACUGUAGGAUGGGCCCGCGGUGCAUUAGCUAGUUGGUGGGGUAACGGCCUACCAAGGCAACGAUGCAUAGCCGACCUGAGAGGGUGAUCGGCCACAUUGGGACUGAGACACGGCCCAAACUCCUACGGGAGGCAGCAGUAGGGAAUCUUCCACAAUGGACGAAAGUCUGAUGGAGCAACGCCGCGUGAGUGAUGAAGGUUUUCGGAUCGUAAAACUCUGUUGUAAGGGAAGAACAAGUACGUUAGGAAAUGAACGUACCUUGACGGUACCUUAUUAGAAAGCCACGGCUAACUACGUGCCAGCAGCCGCCGUAA
rnacentral:rRNA from 1 species